rnacentral:rRNA from 1 species
AAACUAACAAGGAUUCCCCUAGUAACGGCGAGUGAACCGGGAAAGCUCAAAUUUGAAAUCUGGCGUCCUCAGGGCGUCCGAGUUGUAAUCUAUAGAGGCGUUUUCCGUGCCGGACCGUGUCCAAGUCCCUUGGAACAGGGUAUCAAAGAGGGUGACAAUCCCGUACUUGACACGACUACCGGUGCUCUGUGAUACGUCUUCUACGAGUCGAGUUGUUUGGGAAUGCAGCUCAAAAUGGGUGGUGAGUUCCAUCUAAAGCUAAAUAUUGGCGAGAGACCGAUAGCGAACAAGUACCGUGAGGGAAAGAUGAAAAGCACUUUGGAAAGAGAGUUAAACAGUACGUGAAAUUGUUGAAAGGGAAACGAUUGAAGUCAGUCGUGACCGAGAGGCUCAGCCGGCUCUGCCGGUGUAUUCCCCUCGGUCGGGUCAACAUCAGUUUUGUCCGGUGGAUAAGGGCGGUAGGAAGGUGGCACCCACGGGUGUGUUAUAGCCUGCCGUCACAUACACUGGGUGAGACUGAGGAAUGCAGCUCGCCUUUAUGGCCGGGGUUCGCCCACGUCCGAGCUUAGGAUGUUGACAUAAUGGCUUUAAACGAC